GGCAUAAUUACUUGUAAAACUCCAGUAUGCUGGAAUGGUUACCUACUUUUGUUUGAAAUUCUGCUUCUGAACGCAUUGCCAGUCCAUUAUGUUUAUUUAAAGGACGUAGGCACAGUAUGUCGUGAUAUUCCUAGUCUCACUUUCUGAACAGCGCAGUAACUACGUUGUUGGAAUCUAGUGGGAUUCCAUUAAAGUCCAAUGGAAUUAUGGUAUAACAGUAGCAGUCUUGUAGCAAUGAGAUUAGAAAUCGUAAAAUCAAACCCGACACAUACCGAAUGUUCAUCAGUUGCACGUGCAAAAUGCGAGUUUUAAUUGAUGUUUGGGAUGGAUUCUAAAGACCUCAGUUCUUAACUACGACUACUUUCAAUCGAAUUGCUUGCGGAUGUUUCCUCCUAAUCAACGGCGUCAUAAAGGCACCAUGUUUUGGUUUAUCUACAGACAUCCAGGACGAAUAGAGUCCGGCACUUGUCGCUUUUGGUAAACCGGAUGUUGGAACUUUUUCCCAUUGAAAUUGAUAUCGGGUUGUUUGUCUCAGCCCUAGCUCCAGCGGUAUACCGAAGGCUGAACAGGACUGCUCCUCCUGAAGAAGCAAGCUCUUCAGGCCAGCAGUUCUGGGAAACUCCAUUCACCAAGUUGAACUCCCUGACCCUUAAGAGAGUGUUGUGGCAGGACAAAGCUGCCUCAUCUCUGGCUUUGGCAAUACCAGGGGCAGGCUGCAGGCUGCAGGCUGCAGGCUGUUAAUGUGUCUGUGAAGGACAGGGAUUCAUGCAACAGGACUUAUGGGGGAGUGAUCAUUGAAAACAUGUGUGCUGGAGACAGGCUGGGGAGCAAAGACUCCUGUUGGGGGGAUUCUGGGGUUCUCUUGUCUGCGGAAACAAGCUUUUAGGAGUGAUCUCAUGGGGAAGAGGCUGUGGGACAAGAGGGUUCCCUGGAGUCUAUACCUUUAUCAAGUACUUGGAUUGGAUAUACAACUGCAUCAAGUUAAAUCACUGUGUGUGAGGAUUUGGAAUGGAACAACCAAGGUCUAUCGCAGAAUCUGAGAGUACACAGAUGUGAUUUACCUUCAUAUCAACCUAUGAUGAUGGCAUGCUAAAGGAAGAGCUGCUUACAGUAUGACUGUGGUAAUCCUCUAACAGAUUGUUCCAGGUAAUGUAAACACAGCUGGUGGUACAAAACGGCAGCCUUUUUUAAGCCAUUGAGACCACUCAGCCUGAGCAACAUCAAAUUGAUUUCAGAUAUGAAAAAACAAAAGUUCAAUGAACCAUAUUAACUGGUUUUCUCUAUAUAAUGUACAAGUUCUAUCAUUGUAUUACAUCUACAGUAAGUUUUAAAAAAAUGCAAUUGAAAGACUCAUACUUAAGGUGCUUUGUAUUCUCCUAGAAUCAAUUUGCAUGUAUGGUUCAGUUUUGCCAUCUUUCAUUGGGGUAGACAGUUGGUAGCAGUGGCUCAGUGCUCCACCUGUGACUGGAGAACUGUGCUAUCUGAGAAAUAAGAGGUGUGUCUCAAAAGUAGAAAGCAUUUUUGUAAAGAAAGUAGGCUGCAGACCAUGGUUAGACUAGAUGAGAAUUUUUUUGUUUAAAGUUUUCUUAUGUUUGCAUAAUCUUACAGUAUGUUUAAAUGAACAAAACAAUUUUUUCUUUACAAAAUAUAAUUUAUUUAAAUCUAAGACUUCUGACCAUCUUUGACAUCCACUCUGUUCUAGUCAUCUGAGAAAAUGCUAGUGGCUCUCUGUUAAUUCAC